rnacentral:rRNA from 1 species
CACGUAGGGGGCAAGCGUUGUCCGGAUUUAUUGGGCGUAAAGAGCUCGUAGGCGGCUUAGUAAGUCGGGUGUGAAAUCCCCGGGCUCAACCCGGGAACUGCGUCCGAUACUGGCAGGCUUGAAUCCGGGAGAGGGAUGCGGAAUUCCAGGUGUAGCGGUGAAAUGCGUAGAUAUCUGGAGGAACACCGGUGGCGAAGGCGGCAUCCUGGACCGGCAUUGACGCUGAGGCGCGAAAGCCAGGGGAGCAAACGGG